UGUCUUCCUUGAUCUUCUUUGCUGUUCGAAAAUGAUUGGCUGAUGACUGAUAUAAAACGCAUCAGUUUUGUUUCCUCCACUGCAAUCGUCAACUAAAAAAUCGAAAAGGAAAUGGUUUUUACUUCAUACACCAACCAAUUAUGUAGGUAUAUAUAUUAUAUAGGUGGGAUUAUAUAUUAUACAUUAUAUACAUUCAAAAAACAUUUAUUUAAUAAACUUUUUAAUAAUAGUUUAGCUCCACCUUGGCUUAUGAAUGAGAUGAUAGAGGAAUAUUCUAAAAAAUUAGAAUCUACAAAGGGCCCAGUAGUUUUUAAGAAUGGAGAAGUUUUUGAUUAUAAUCCUGACAUGGAGCUGGUGAUUCCAAAGGAAACACCUUGCAUAAUAAUCAUUAUUACGCACAAUAAAAAAUAUAUUCUUAAUGGACUCGGCUGUUAUUAUGGUAGUGACCAUGUCUUGACUGCCUUGCAUGUAGUUAGAGAUACAGAUUUAGGGAUACUCAUUGCUUUUCCUACUAAAGAUGUUAAACUGAUCUACAAGGCUGAGUUUACUAAAUUUUGUAACCGUGACAAAGAUCGAGAUCUGGCUUUUGUUAAAUUACUAGGCAUUACUAGUCCCCUUGGAGAUGGUUUACAAAAUCAGAGUGUUGAAAUGAAUAAAAAUGACAGUAUAUACUUUUAUACCCGGGACCCUAAUUGUAAUUUUCAGCAGCAGGAGGGUAAAAUUGAUUACCAAAAUUCAAGCCAGUUUUUAAUGUCUGUAGCAGGUAAACCUGGAGACAGUGGCUCACCUAUUUUCAACGCUAAACAUGAACUGAUUGGCAUAUAUCAAGGUGUCAUCCAGAAAUACGGCAUCGGUUGUAAAACUUUUCCACGUUUUUCACCCUGGGGCCAAACGAAUGCCUCACAGAGUUAAAUGAUGUAAUGGUUCACAUUACAAAGAUGUAAUGUUUCAUUUUUUAUAUAAAUUCAAGUUGUUUCCACGCUUUUUUAGUAACCUGCUGAGGAAUCCCUGUAACAACUGACCUGUAAUUUCUCAAAUUUCUUAAAAAUAAAAAAGAUUUAAAAAUAUAUUUAUAUAAAAUAAAUAAAUAAAUAAAAACCUUUAAAACUUUUUUAAAACUUUUUUAAAACUUUAAAAAUCUUUAAAACUUUCCUCCUGCAUGACAGCAAAUACAAUCUUUUUUUUUUCCUUUACUAUCAUGUUUGUCUUUCCCUUUCUAUAUUACUGUAGGUAGCCCAGCCUGAGCGUGUGUGUGUGUGUCUGUGUGUGUUUUGUGACACGUUUGCCAAUGUGCCAAAGCCUCUUUUUUAAGUACAAUGUUUACUUUCUGUUGGACUGAAAAAGCUCUUUGAAAGCAAAUAAACAUUUACUACACUUGUGCCAACACCUGAGAGAUCGACUCACAAAGAAAGUGGAAAUGGACUCUCAGCCAACAGCCUCACCUGGCGCAGAUCGUCCAGUCUUUACGAUGCAAGAGCAGCAUUACAUUUACAUUUACAUCAUUUGGCAGACGCCCUUCUCCUGAGCGACGUACAAAAGUGCUUAAGUCUCUACCAUUGGAUACAUUAACUCUGGUUCACAAGGUUACAUACUUAAGAACCCAACUUCAGCAUCAGCAUCGGUCUCUUUUACAUCUGCAGCAACAACAGCAGGGAAUCCACACUGAAAAGAGCAGCAAACUGCCAAAAAGAAAACACCAUCUAAAGCCUGCUGGCAUGAGCAGCUCUCUAAAAUCUUCCUCAUUGUCCAUGGAAUGGUCGAGAGUACAAUCGUGGUGUGUGUCUGGACCUUUUGCACUUGGCUCGCACAGGCUCACGUGUCAUACUGAGAAAACUCAGGCUUGGCUCACUAAUACAGAAAGGGACUAAACACCUUGUUAGAUGAGCAGUUCUUUUUUGAAAAAAAGAUGAGCAGUUAAGGUUUUUUUUUUAUAAUUAAAUAAAUAACAAUUGCAAAUAAAAAAUUAAAAAAUUCCUAGUUAAAAAAUAGUUUAUUUAAAAAAUAUAUUAUAUAAAUAUAUAUAUAUAUUCAUUAUUAUUAUUAUGGAAGGCAGGAAGGUAGGUCAAGGUGUAUGGUCCUGUGGAAACCAUUUCCUUUUCCAAUUUACCUGACGGCUGCCCAGAGUGAGGUGCUCAAAUUUAAAUUUUUCAGAAAAAAGCCUCACUCUUACUCUUACUGGACAAAAGACACCUGGAUGCAGAAGAUUUCUCUCUACAAAAUGCUGCUGUAAUCGUCAUCAACGCAAUCAUCGCUUCAGCACAUUUAGUCCAUUACUCUUCUCCAUCUGUGGACUGUAAUUAUAUCUAAUUGCAUUAUUUGGUGUCACCCACAAGAGGAUGGGUUCCUUUUUGAGUCUGGUUCCUCUCAAGGUUUCUCCCUUAUGUCAUCUCAGGGAGUUUUUCCUUGCCACCGUCGCCACAGGCUUGCUCACUAAGGACUUCAAUCUAUAUCCAGUAUUCUGUAACAAACAUUUAUUGAAAGGAAACAAAUUGUACGAAUAAAUUUGAGCUGAAAUUGA